GACAGAGGUCCCGAGCGUUAGGCGGAAUCACUGGGCUUAAAGCGUGUGUAGGCGGCGGCCUAAGUACCUUGUGAAAUCCCACGGCUCACCCGUGGAACUGCUCGGUAUACUGGGUCGCUUGAGCCACUUAGGGGCUACCGGAACAAAUGGUGGAGCGGUGAAAUGCGUAGAUAUCAUUUGGAACGCCAAUGGUGAAAACAGGUAGCUGGGAGUGUGCUAACGCUGAGACACGAAAGCCAGGGGAGCAAACGGG
rnacentral:rRNA from 1 species